rnacentral:lncRNA from 1 species
UAUCUUCCCCACCUUCAUCAAUUUCUACCUCGGCCUCAAGCUCUCCAUCUUGAGCUCUAUCAUCACCCUCAUUCGAUUCAAAUCCUACCUCCUCACCAAGAUAAUACAAUUUUCCCUCCCUAAGGAUUACAUUCCUCCAUUUUGGGCACUUACUAGCCUUGUGCUCCCACCCUUGACAUUUAAAACAUUGAAAUUCCUU